rnacentral:lncRNA from 1 species
UAUUCCCAGAUAUGAGUUUUAUUUUCCUCCCACAUUCAAACUAUCAGCUUUUGAAAUCUAUUUUCCAUCGGUGUAUCUUUGUAGGAUUUAAAAUUUAGAGUUAAAUUAAAAAGAUUUCAAAUAAUUCUAAAGUAGUAUUUUUUUUUUUUCUCUCAUUCGUUAUUUUUGAGUGAUUACACAUAUGAGAUGCUUGAAGAAAGGAAAACGUUAUCUAACGAGUUAUAAGAAUUAGGAAUAGUUUUUUUUUUUUUUUUGUUUUUCUCUUUGGAUUUUUUGGAAGAUUAUCUGUGAGUUAUGUAGAAUAAAUAUUAAGCAAUGAAGAAAAUAUCAAAUAUAAAGAAUACUUUUUAGUUGAGAUUAAAGCUUAAUUCUUAUCUUAGCCGAAUAAAUCCUUUCAGUUCUUUAAUGCGUAAUCAUGUAUAUGAAUAUGUAUGCAGGUAUAUGUAUAUGGUGUAUUUAUGUAUGUAUGCACAUAUAUAUACACACACACAUAUAUAUAUAUAUACAUAUAUAUAUAUAUAUAUAUACAUGUAUAUAUAUAUAUAUAUGCAUGUAUGUAUAUAUAUAUAUAUAUAUAAUAUAAUAUAAAUAAUAUAUAAAUAUAUGCAUAUAUUUAUCUAUAUGUACAUACCUACAUGCAUAUGUAUAUAUACAUGCAUAUAUGGGUACAGGACAUCAACAAAACGUUGAACACAAUGAGAAACGAAAACAUAAAAACAAAAACAUAGAAACGAACUUUUUUCGAACAACGAAAAAAACAGAGAAAUGAGACAUGCAACAUAAAUAACAUUCCCUUUCUUCAGUUGUCCCUGUUUCAUCUACUCCGUGUUUUGAUAUAUAUACAGUUUUAUAUAUACUUUAUGCAAUGUAUAUUUGUAUAUUUUUAAAAGCAUAUAUUAUAUCUGUAUACACUCACACACGCGCUUAUAUAUGUAUAUAUAUAUAUAUAUAUAUAUAUAUAUAUAUACGUAUGCAUGUAAAUAUGUAAAUGCAUGACUGCAUGCAUACAUACAUAUACAUACAUACAUACAUACAUACAUACAUACAUACAUACAUACAUACAUACAUACAUACAUACAUACAUACAUACAUACAUACAUGCAUGCAUGCAUACAUAAACACGUUGACAAGCCACACAGGAAAAGACGGAGCGCUACCUUCUGAAGCCAAGAAGAUAGCUCUGAAUACAUGUUCCUGUCUCAAUAGACGUCACCAGCACAACAGUGACACUACUGUGUCUCCAGUAGAGUGAUAUACUUAGAUAUACAUCUGCAGAAAGGAGCACGACCCAUUUAUGGCGUAGGUAAUUUGCAAAAAUGAAAUGCUGAUAGCUAAGAGAAUUAAUUUCGAAGCUAAUGGUGAGCGCCUUCACCAUCAAAAUAUCCAAGUACAAGUCCUCCGACGAAUUUACUGAGAACAUUUAAAUCUAAAGUCUAUAAUCAUAUUUGCUCAUUCAGAAAUAUUGAUAAAAGGGAAAACAUUUGCCUGUUUUUUUUUUUUUCUUACUGAAAAACCAAAGGAAUACAAACGACAAAAUUAAAUGGAAACUCAUCGAAAACGCCGCGUCAUUCUUGCAGAAUGUGAACUGUCACCUGUGCGUCGUAGCUAAACUUAUCCUCACUGAGGCCAUCUUAAAAUCAAAAUUAGAGUUGACUUCCUUCGGUAUACACAAGCGUAAACCCUCAGAAAAUCUUUACUACCGACAAAGCAAAGCGAUAUAUAAUAGAGCAAACAAAAGACGCAGUUUAAUCAUCGCUUAGCUUUUCACACUAACCACAUUACGUUGUUUUCUGACUAGAAGAUAACGAAACAUUCUCAACGUGUUCACAUAGAAGGAAAUUCAGCCUCUUGUCUUUGAAAUACAUCCCAUUUGAAAAUUAUCGUCUCCAAAUUAUAUUUUGUUUUUAAUUUUACCUUAUUUCAUUUUUCGUUAUAUUUCCCCUGACGUGCACAAAGCAGAAUUCAGUAAACAACCUUCCAGAACGCAAGUAAAAUAGGAAGUCAACAAAAUGACAACUAGAGUAAAAAUUAUGAAUACCGACUUCUGAAGGUAUUUGAUCCACAAAGCAGUUCUGUCUGAUGAUUGUUGAAAGACAAGGUCAUGAAACUCAAUGACAGGAUUCUAGUCGUAAGCUAGAAUCCUGUAUAGUUCACCUAACACAUGCAUGUCUCUUUGUAUGUGUAUAUAAUCCUCUCUCCCUCUCUCUCUCUCUCUCUCUCUCUCUCUCUCUCUCUCUCUCUCUGUAAAUGUGUGUGUGAAUGUUUGUACGUGUAUGUGCACGCGCGCGCGCGCGUGUGUGUGUGUGUGAGUGCGGUAUACAUAAAUCAUAAUGUGAUAUUUUUCGCAAGAAAUAAUUCAUCAUAGAACUCAAUAUAUAUUUUUGUAUGGCGAUAUUUUUGUAUGGCGAUAUUUUUGUAUGGCGAUAUUUUUGUAUGGCGAUAUUAUUUUAACUGCUUUGUCCACUUAUAGCCAAGUAAUACAUAAUCCAUCUUGUGGUACCCCUAGGCUGAGUCGAUACCAGAAAUUUUUCUUCAAAACACAUUACAACGGCGUUCUCUACUGUCUUAAAUAUAUGAAUUACGCAUUCGAUAAAGUGGUCUGACAUUAAGAAGACAAAAAGACGGUAUGGUUAAAUGUAUGUUCAAUAAGAGAUGUAGAGUAACAAUAAUCCCUUUGGGUAAUAUAUAGCUAAUAUCGUGGCUUCGGUCCAUAAUCAUAAACUAAUGGUCACUUGACCUUUGAUUUAUGAUUAUCAUAAACCGGUUUGGCAACUUGCUGUUUUGGACAUCGCCAUUCCCCUAAGUAAAUGACUUUGACCUAUCAAAUGACCAACGUCUAAAUUGGUUGACGCUCUGUUUCUCAUACACUUUACUUCUACUUAGAAACACAUAUAAAUAUACGCUACUACACGUACAUACAUGCAUACAUACAUACAUACAUACAUACAUACAUACAUACAUACAUACAUACAUCCUAUAUUAGCUAUUCGCAGACACAGAAUCAAAUACAUGCACAUAUAUAUAUGUGCGUACAUACUACAAAUAUACAUGUAUAUGUGUGCAUAUAUACACAUGGUCGACUGACUAUGUAGUUCGCUUCACAAUCACAAACUCGUGGGUUCAGUCCCACUGCGUGGCAACGAAAAUUUGGUAACCGGAAGCCUGUGUGGACUGUACCCACAGUUUGACGGUCCAGUUUUUCUCACAAAUUGUCUCUCUGAUUCCGCCUGAGAAUUCCGUUAAUACUUCAUGCGUGUGAAAUAUUCACACAUUUAAGAGCUAAUUCAAUAACCAGAUACCUUAUUCAUUGAACGACUAAAUACUCAUUAUUGUUACCGACCGAUAUUCAUCUGUUGUUUAUUACUAAUUAUUGUUAUUAUUUCCAUUUUACUUCUCAGAGUUCUCGAUUUCACUUGCUCCGCUGAGUUCUGUAACAGUGGAUAGCAACCUGUUGUCAAAGGUCUCACUGUGUCUCUUUCCACGAUACUUAACACUCAAGAACCAAUCUCAAGAUCCUUGAUGUCCCCAAUAACUCUAGA